rnacentral:rRNA from 1 species
CUUGCUUCUCUUGAGAGCGGCGGACGGGUGAGUAAUGCCUAGGAAUCUGCCUGGUAGUGGGGGAUAACGUUCGGAAACGGACGCUAAUACCGCAUACGUCCUACGGGAGAAAGCAGGGGACCUUCGGGCCUUGCGCUAUCAGAUGAGCCUAGGUCGGAUUAGCUAGUUGGUGGGGUAAUGGCUCACCAAGGCGACGAUCCGUAACUGGUCUGAGAGGAUGAUCAGUCACACUGGAACUGAGACACGGUCCAGACUCCUACGGGAGGCAGCAGUGGGGAAUAUUGGACAAUGGGCGAAAGCCUGAUCCAGCCAUGCCGCGUGUGUGAAGAAGGUCUUCGGAUUGUAAAGCACUUUAAGUUGGGAGGAAGGGUUGUAGAUUAAUACUCUGCAAUUUUGACGUUACCGACAGAAUAAGCACCGGCUAACUCUGUGCCAGCAGCCGCGGUAAUACAGAGGGUGCAAGCGUUAAUCGGAAUUACUGGGCGUAAAGCGCGCGUAGGUGGUUUGUUAAGUUGGAUGUGAAAUCCCCGGGCUCAACCUGGGAACUGCAUUCAAAACUGACUGACUAGAGUAUGGUAGAGGGUGGUGGAA